rnacentral:rRNA from 1 species
GACGAACGCUGGCGGCGUGCUUAACACAUGCAAGUCGAACGGAAAGGCCCUGCUUUUGUGGGGUGCUCGAGUGGCGAACGGGUGAGUAACACGUGAGUAACCUGCCCUUGACUUUGGGAUAACUUCAGGAAACUGGGGCUAAUACCGGAUAGGAGCUCCUGCUGCAUGGUGGGGGUUGGAAAGUUUCGGCGGUUGGGGAUGGACUCGCGGCUUAUCAGCUUGUUGGUGGGGUAGUGGCUUACCAAGGCUUUGACGGGUAGCCGGCCUGAGAGGGUGACCGGCCACAUUGGGACUGAGAAACGGGCCGGACUCCUACGGGAGGCAGCAGUGGGGAAUUUUGCACGAUGGGCGGAAGCCUGAUGCAGCAACGCCGCGUGCGGGAUGACGGUCGUCGGGUUGUAACCCGCUUUCGCCUGUGAAGAAGAGUGAGUGACGGUAAUGGGUAAAGAAGCACCGGCUAACUACGUG